GGUCAUAACUGGAGCUACGAAUAUCGGAUUGAGGCUCCGGAAGAUGCGUUGGAAAGCUGAGAUCAAGAGCUACAACUUUCAUGUUGAGGCCAAAACUCAGUUCGGAGCGCAAGUGUGUCAAAUAUUUACGUUUAUGUUCCAGACUUUAUGAAAAUAAUGUAAUUUCGGGUCAAACUUAUGUUUUUCGACCCGUAGCUUUUUAAGCCCAAUUUUCUCUGAGUACUUAAGCAAAAACACAGCUAGGGUUUCAGGGGAAUUCUGAUUUCACGCAAAAAAAUAGAAAAGAAAGGCUGCUGCAUUCUCAUGGAGAACUAGCAACCCUAGGUUGAUCCAUUGGUAUACGGGAACAUCGUUCAUG
rnacentral:lncRNA from 1 species